UGCUUGGGAAUAUGCCUUUAGGUGGGGGACAACAGUUGGAAACGACUGCUAAUACCGCAUAAUGUCUACGGACCAAAGUGGGGGACCUUCGGGCCUCACGCCUAAAGAUUAGCCCAAGUGGGAUUAGCUAGUUGGUUGAGGUAAAGGCUCACCAAGGCGACGAUCCCUAGCUGGUUUGAGAGGAUGAUCAGCCACACUGGAACUGAGACACGGUCCAGACCCCUACGGGAGGCAGCAGUGAGGAAUUUUCCGCAAUGGGCGAAAGCCUGACGGAGCAAUACCGCGUGAGGGAUUAAGGCC
rnacentral:rRNA from 1 species